rfam:Mesocricetus auratus contig157014, whole genome shotgun sequence.
CCAAAGGCUCUUUUCAGAGUCACUCAACAAUAAAUAAACAGUUAAUU